rnacentral:rRNA from 1 species
AUUGAACGCUGGCGGUAUGCUUAACACAUGCAAGUCGAACGAUGAGAAAGAGCUUGCUCUUUCGAUUAGUGGCGGACGGGUGCGUAACGCGUAGGAAUCUACCUAUUAGUGGGGGACAACUUAGGGAAACUUAAGCUAAUACCGCAUACGCCCUACGGGGGAAAGAAGGGGAUCGCAAGACCUUUUGCUAAUAGAUGAGCCUGCGUAGGAUUAGCUAGUUGGUGGGGUAAAAGCUCACCAAGGCGACGAUCCUUAACUGGUUUGAGAGAAUGAUCAGUCACACUGGAACGAAGACACGGUCCAGACUCCUGCGGGAGGCAGCAGUGGGGAAUAUUGGACAAUGGGCGAAAGCCUGAUCCAGCAAUACCGCGUGUGUGAAGAAGGCCUUAGGGUUGUAAAGCACUUUCAAUUGGAAGGAAAACCUCGAAGCUAAUACCUUCGAGUUUGACAUUACCUUUAGAAGAAGCACCGGCUAACUCCGUGCCAGCAGCCGCCGUAA